rnacentral:snoRNA from 1 species
UAGAUCUUACUUCAUAGGAUCAUUUCUAUAGUAAGUUCUUCACGAGACCUAAGGUUGAUGUAAUCUACCGAUGUGAUAAAUAUCCAUAAAAUAACUCAUUUUAGAGCAGC